UACGGGAGGCAGCAGUGGGGAAUAUUGCACAAUGGGCGAAAGCCUGAUGCAGCUAUGCCGCGUGUAUGAAGAAGGCCUUAGGGUUGUAAAGUACUUUCAGCAGGGGAGGAAAGAAAUAAAACUAAUAAUUUUAUUUUGUGACGUUACCUGAAGAAGAAGCACCGGCUAACUCCGUGCCAGCAGCCGCGGUAAUACGGAGGGUGCAAGCGUUAAUCAGAAUUACUGGGCGUAAAGAGCGCGUAGGUGGUUUUUUUAAAGUCAGAUGUGAAAUCCCUAGGCUUAACCUAGGAACUGCAUUUUGAAACUGAAAAACUAGAGUAUCGUAGAGGGAGGUAGAAUUCUAGGUGUAGCGGUGAAAUGCGUAGAUAUCUGGAGGAAUACCUGUGGCGAAAGCGGCCUCCUAAACGAAUACUGACACUGAGGUGCGAAAGCGUGGGGAGCAAACGAGGAUUAGAUACC
rnacentral:rRNA from 1 species